rfam:Eubacterium sp. 68-3-10 unitig_0:quiver, whole genome shotgun sequence.
AUUUGCCUGGAACAUGCGUUAAGGGCUCUUAAUUGAACCUACAGCUUUUUUUAGGGAAUCCGGAGUUCCCGGGCGGAUGUCAAGCCUCCUCAGAGAGGACGGCAGAAGCACAGGACAGGAUACCCACCUAUCAUUUUUGAUAGGCGUCAAUUAAGUCCUGACGGUGUCCUGGGUUUUUU